UACGAAGGGGGCUAGCGUUGUUCGGAUUUACUGGGCGUAACGCGCACGUAGGCGGAUCGUUAAGUCGGGGGUGAAAUCCUGGAGCUCAACUCCAGAACUGCCUUCGAUACUGGCGAUCUUGAGUCCGGAAGAGGUGAGUGGAACUCCUAGUGUAGAGGUGGAAUUCGUAGAUAUUAGGAAGAACACCAGUGGCGAAGGCGGCUCACUGGUCCGGUACUGACGCUGAGGUGCGAAAGCGUGGGGAGCAAACAGG
rnacentral:rRNA from 1 species